rnacentral:rRNA from 1 species
CUACGGGAUGCUGCAGUGGGGAAUAUUGCACAAUGGGCGCAAGCCUGAUGCAGCCAUGCCGCGUGUAUGAAGAAGGCCUUCGGGUUGUAAAGUACUUUCAGCGGGGAGGAAGGGAGUAAAGUUAAUACCUUUGCUCAUUGACGUUACCCGCAGAAGAAGCACCGGCUAACUCCGUGCCAGCAGCCGCGGUAAUACGGAGGGUGCAAGCGUUAAUCGGAUUACUGGGCGUAAAGCGCACGCAGGCGGUUUGUUAAGUCAGAUGUGAAAUCCCCGGGCUCAACCUGGGAACUGCAUCUGAUACUGGCAAGCUGGAGUCUCGUAGAGGGGGGUAGAAUUCCAGGUGUAGUGGUGAAAUGCGUAGAGAUCUGGAGGAAUACCGGUGGCGAAGGCGGCCCCCUGGACGAAGCCUGACGCUCAGGUGCGAAAGCGUGGGGAGCAAACAGGAUUAGACACCCCAGUGUC